UCCGAUAUGGUGUAGUGGCUAACAUUAUCGCCUCUCAUGAUGCAUAUUUGCACAGUCUCAUGCGCGAUAGCCCGGGGUUCGAUUCCCCGUGUCGGAA